rnacentral:misc_RNA from 1 species
CAACCCUCAAGCGCGGCUUGCGUGUUGGGUCUUCGUCUUCUAUUUCCUAGUGGACGUGCCCGAAACACAGUGGGGAUGCCGCGAUACCGAGCCCUCAGCGAAUGGGAUCUUCCACCGCUACAGGCGCCGGCCGACGUCCACCUACAAUCUAUUUCUUC